GAUGAACGCUAGCGGCAGGCCUAAUACAUGCAAGACGAACGGUAAGUUGAGUAGCAAUACUUAGCCAAGAGUGUCGUACGGGUGCGUAACACGUAUGCAACCUACCCUAUACAGGAGGAUAGCCUAGGGAAACCUGGAUUAACCCUUCAUAGUAUUAUUGGAUGGCAUCAUUUGAUAAUUAAAACUGAGGUGGUAUAGGAUGGGCAUGCGUCUGAUUAGUUAGUUGGCGGGGUAAUGGCCCACCAAGACGAUGAUCAGUAGGGGUUCUGAGAGGAAGAUCCCCCACACUGGCACUGAGAUACGGGCCAGACUCCUACGGGAGGCAGCAGUAGGGAAUAUUGGUCAAUGGAUGCAAGUCUGAACCAGCCAUGCCGCGUGCAGGAAGAAGGCCCUUUCUGGGUUGUAAACUGCUUUUGCCAGGGGAUAAAAUUUCCAUGCGUGGAAAACUGAAGGUACCUGGUGAAUAAGCCACGGCUAACUACGUGCCAGCAGCCGCGGUAAU
rnacentral:rRNA from 1 species